CUCUAUCACAAUGUCGUCUCUUGGAGAUUUAGAAAAAAAAAGAAAAAAAAAAAGGUGUUUUUUCCCCCCAGUAGAAAAAACUGAUGAAAGGAGCUCAGAACCAGACACUUCGUUCUCCAAAGCCACCAGGCAGUUCCACCUUCUUUUACAUGGCUUCUACAUGGAUUCCGUAGGAAAGCACAAGGCAGAUCUACAGAUUACUCUAAAUGCCAAGGCUAAUUCUUGGCCUUAACUGUUUUUCAAAAUACAUUCAGAUACACAGCCAUCCCUGGAACAUAACAAAUGAGGCUGUGGAACACUGAGCGAAAGACGAAUUUGGCUCAGAGUGCAGAUCUGCCAUUGCUCUCAAUGCUGGCUGCAAGGAAGCGGAACCCAAGGCUCCAUGUCCUUUUUUUGAUGAAAUUGGUGUAUGUAAAGACAAGCAAAUACGAAAGAAGAAUUUGAAGGACAGACAAACUGCAACAUCAACAUAGAUUACAACAUCAAAAUAAACAUUAUCUUUGUAGUAGUUUUAAAAA
rnacentral:lncRNA from 10 species